CCUACGGGGGGCAGCAGUGGGGAAUAUUGCACAAUGGGGGAAACCCUGAUGCAGCGACGCCGCGUGGGUGACGAAGUAUUUCGGUAUGUAAAGCCCUAUCAGCAGGGAAGAAGAUGACAGUACCUGACCAAGAAGCCCCGGCUAACUACGUGCCAGCAGCCGCGGUAAUACGUAGGGGGCAAGCGUUAUCCGGAUUUACUGGGUGUAAAGGGAGCGUAGGUGGCAUGGCAAGCCAGAAGUGAAAACCCGGGGCUUAACCCCGCGGAUUGCUUUUGGAACUGUCAGGCUGGAGUGCAGGAGGGGCAGGCGGAAUUCCUGGUGUAGCGGUGAAAUGCGUAGAUAUCAGGAGGAACACCGGUGGCGAAGGCGGCCUGCUGGACUGUAACUGACACUGAGGCUCGAAAGCGUGGGGAGCAAACAGGAUUAGAUACCCGAGUAGUC
rnacentral:rRNA from 1 species